AAAAACAUGUCUUUUUGAUUAUAAUUUAAAGUCUAGCCUGCCCAAUGAAUAUGAUUAAAUGGCCGCGGUAUAUUGACUGUGCAAAGGUAGCAUAAUCAUUAGUUUUUUAAUUGAAAGCUGGAAUGAAAGGUUGAAUGAAAAAAUAACUGUCUCUAUUUAAAUUAAUUAGAAUUUUAUUUUUAAGUUAAAAAGCUUAAAUAUUUAUAAAAGACGAGAAGACCCUAUAGAGUUUGAUAUUUUUUGAUAUUAAAAUAUUUAGUAUUUUUAUUUUUAUUUUUAAUAAGAUAUUUAAUUGGGGUGAUUGAAAAAUUUAUUAAACUUUUUUUUUAUAGUUACAUUAAUUUAUGAGUAUUUGAUCCUUUAAAUAAGAUUAUAAGAUUAAAUUACCUUAGGGAUAACAGCGUAAUUUUUUUUAAGAGUUCUAAUCGAAAAAAAAGAUUGCGACCUCGAUG
rnacentral:rRNA from 1 species